ACUCUAGGCUAUUACACAUUUCUUUUCUCUUUCUGCACUUUGCUGAACCUCUCCUGUACACAAUACACUGAACCUGCAAAACUGGGGUUACGGGAGUGGGAUGAGCUCUAUAGCCCAGUGAGUAGAACAGUAAAACAUCUCAGUAAAAUAUGAUCUCAUGGAAUGCACCAUAUCACAGACAAUCCACAUCAAGAGUAAACCUGUCACCACAUAGUCCCAGUAACUCUGUGCCAGGGCGUAGAAUCGAGCACCUGGUCUUCCUGUCAUUACUUUCAUCUCCCUGGAGCUAUCAGGAAAAGCCCACCCUGCAAAUUCAUUGGCGAACUCUCCCCAUGACAUACUGGUCACCCUAGGCUCCAUAUAGUUCUUGAACCAUUCUCGAGCUUUCUUACACUUAAGUGUAAACCCUGCCAUCUCAAUGGCUCUACUAUCAUCUGCUCCCAAUUCACUGGUUAUCAUCCUAACUGAUCUGAGGUAUUCAAAUGGAUCAUCUCCCGUGUUAUAUUUAGGAGCAUCCAAUUUCAAGUACUCUGUCAUUUGUACCUUACCUCCAGAUGAGCUAGGUUGAUGUCUGUCACCAACAGGGACUACUGGUUCUGGUGGUGGUACUGGGUCAUUUGGCUCUGGGUGUGCUGCACUUGGAUGGGUAGGGGAAGGGGGAUACAUAGGAUAUGGUGGAUAGUAAGGAGGAUAAGGCAUAUAUGGCAUGUAAGGCGGAUAUGGGACAAAACUAGAGUACUCCGACAUACCUCCCAUCGGAUACUCAGGGUCCUGCGGAAAGGCUGGAUAUCCAUAACCUGAGGCCUGAGCGCCUCCCUGCGACUCUCCCAUACCUUCCUCAAAUCUGCCUAUACCCAUGCUGUCAUCUCUAGACUAGUCAAUCUCCAUAGCUUCCCUCUUUUCCUCUGAUCUUUCUCCCCUCGUUGUACCUCUUCUGCUCUCGUCGACAGACCUUCUAGGGUCUAUUGACGUACCUUCCCUGCUAGAUCUCUGAGACCUUGCCCUUGGCAAUGCAGGAGGACAAGCAGUCGGUCUCUCACUAUCUGGUGGGACUCCAGUCAAUCGAGCUGAUCGACGAAUUCCUCUCAUCUUUACUCUCUGGAAAACAACACAUAAUAUAGCACUUUAGCACAUAAACCUCACAUAUCAAUCAUGCACAUGCAUAACUCAUGGCAUAUCAAGCAGAUAGGACUCAAAACCCUAUCCUAGUGGACAUGAUUUCCUAUUGUGCUUGACCACUUUUAACCUCUAUUAGCCCGACACUGUCUCUGGUCCGAUCAUGUGAACCUAGGGCUCUGAUACCAAUCUGUAACGACCCAAAAAUGGACCGUCACCGGCGCUAGGAUUUAGGUCGGCUUAAGGCCGCCAGAACCCGUAGCAAGCCUGCUAUACUCUCUGUGUACCUGUAAAUCUCAUACAUGAUCAUACAUUUUCUGUGAAAAUAAAAACUCUUUUCUGAACCAAGGCUUAACCUGUGCAUGCACUAUCUCUGUACUCUGUACUCUGUACCCCUUGGGUAACUCAUACCUGUUAAGCCUGGUUUUUAACAUACUCUAUAAAACAUCGACAUAUACAGAUCAUGUACACAACAACAGAUUUACAACACAAACUACUAAGUCAAGCACAUUUGUAACUGAAAACACAACUAAUACAUCUCUUUAAUAUUACAUGUCCACUCUAGGCUAUUACACAUUUCUUUUCUCUUUCUGCACUUUGCUGAACCUCUCCUGUACACAGUACACUGAACCUGCAAAACUGGGGUUACGGGAGUGGGAUGAGCUCUAUAGCCCAGUGAGUAGAACAGUAAAACAUCUCAGUAAAAUAUGAUCUCAUGGAAUGCACCAUAUCACAGACAAUCCACAUCAAGAGUAAACCUGUCACCACAUAGUCCCAGUAACUCUGUGCCAGGGCGUAGAAUCGAGCACCUGGUCUUCCUGUCAUAUAUGUAUAUGUGUAUAUAACACCU
rnacentral:lncRNA from 1 species